rnacentral:rRNA from 1 species
UGCAAGUCGAACGAGCCCUUCGGGGCGAGUGGCGAAAGGGCGAGUAACGCGAUCGAACGUAUCCCGAGGUGAGGGAUAGCCUGUGGAAACGCAGGGUAAUACCUCAUGUGCUCUACGGAGGAAAGGCUUGCUGCCUUGGGAGCGGCGAUCGUCCUAUCAGGUUGUUGGUGAGGUAACGGCUCACCAAGCCGAAGACGGGUAGCGGGUGUGAGAGCACGACCCGCCGCAUCGGGACUGAGACACUGCCCGGACUCCUACGGGAGGCUGCAGUAACGAAUCUUCCGCAAUGGGCGAAAGCCUGACGGAGCAAUGCCGCGUGUGGGAUGAAGCUGCUACGCAGUGUAAACCACUGUCAGGGUCUCGCAACACUGAGCAGACCCAGAGGAAGGGCCGGCUAAACUCGUGCCAGCAGCCGCGGUAAUACGAGUGGCCCAAGCGUUAUUCGGAAUCACUGGGCUUAAAGCGUGCGCAGGCGGACCGGUAGGCAUCUCGUGAAAGCCCACGGCUCAACCGUGGAAAUGCGGGGUGAACCACCGGUCUCGAGGCAGGUAGGGGUCAGUGGAACUAUGGGUGGAGCGGUGAAAUGCGUAGAUAUCCAUGGGAACGCCAAUGGCGAAGGCAACUGACUGGGCCUGUCCUGACGCUCAGGCACGAAAGCGUGGGGAGCGAACGGGAUUAGAUACCCCGGUAGUCCACGCCGUAAACGAUGCGCACUAGGUCGGGGGAGCUCUCACGCUCUCCCGGCCGAAGGUAAACUGAUUAGUGCGCCGCCUGGGGAGUACGGUCGCAAGGCUAAAACUCAAAGGAAUUGACGGGGGCUCACACAAGCGGUGGAGCAUGUUGCUUAAUU